rnacentral:rRNA from 1 species
UCCGUAGGUGAACCUGCGGAGGGAUCAUUACCGAGUUUACAACUCCCAAACCCCUGUGAACAUACCUAUACGUUGCCUCGGCGGAUCAGCCCGCGCCCCGUAAAACGGGACGGCCCGCCCGAGGACCCUAAACUCUGUUUUUAGUGGAACUUCUGAGUAAAACAAACAAAUAAAUCAAAACUUUCAACAACGGAUCUCUUGGUUCUGGCAUCGAUGAAGAACGCAGCAAAAUGCGAUAAGUAAUGUGAAUUGCAGAAUUCAGUGAAUCAUCGAAUCUUUGAACGCACAUUGCGCCCGCCAGUAUUCUGGCGGGCAUGCCUGUUCGAGCGUCAUUUCAACCCUCAAGCUCAGCUUGGUGUUGGGACUCGCGGUAACCCGCGUUCCCCAAAUCGAUUGGCGGUCACGUCGAGCUUCCAUAGCGUAGUAAUCAUACACCUCGUUACUGGUAAUCGUCGCGGCCACGCCGUAAAACCCCAACUUCUGAAUGUUGACCUCGGAUCAGGUAGGAAUACCCGCUGAACUUAAGCAUAUCAAUAAGCGGAGGA